GGUCUGCUAUUUCUAUUUACGUUUUAGUACUCUGGAAACAGAAUCUACUAAAACAAGGCAAAAUGCCGUGUUUAUCUCGUCAACUUGUUGGCGAGAUC
rnacentral:misc_RNA from 1 species